ACGUUGAGUUCCCAGCCCAACUUCAGCCAUGAAGAUUCUUUAUCUUCUCUUUGCUGUCUUUUUCCUGGUGCUGCAAAGCUCUCCAGGAUUCACCCGGGAUCCUAUCACUACCGUCACCCAAUGUCUACUUGCUGGGGGCUUCCCCUUCCUUAGGAGAUGUCCCUUCCCGUCUUAUCCCAUUGGAACCUGCGGAAUGAGGUGCAUUUGCUGCAAACGGCCGUUCAUGGAGUAAGUGAUGGCAGCAGAGAAUGUCAAUGCAGGAUCGCUGGGAAUCUGGCAGAUGACGCCUUGCUUCUAAAAUCCUUGGAUCCUUUUCAUCUGGGCCGCAAACAAUCUUGCAAGCUGGAAAAAAAACACAAGGAGCCCUUGUGUCAUCCCUAAUAGCUUAUUCUUCUCCCUUUAAUAAAAGUAGCUGGUUGUU